rnacentral:rRNA from 1 species
AACGAACGCUGGCGGCAUGCCUAACACAUGCAAGUCGAACGAGACCUUCGGGUCGCGUGGCGCACGGGUGCGUAACGCGUGGGAACCUGCCCUUAGGUUCGGAAUAACUCCCCGAAAGGGGUGCUAAUACCGGAUAAUGUCUUCGGACCAAAGAUUUAUCGCCUUUGGAUGGGCCCGCGUUGGAUUAGCUAGUUGGUAGGGUAAAAGCCUACCAAGGCGACGAUCCAUAGCUGGUCUGAGAGGAUGAUCAGUCACACUGGGACUGAGACACGGCCCAGACUCCUACGGGAGGCAGCAGUGGGGAAUAUUGGACAAUGGGCGAAAGCCUGAUCCAGCAAUGCCGCGUGAGUGAUGAAGGCCUUAGGGUUGUAAAGCUCUUUUACCCGGGAUGAUAAUGACAGUACCGGGAGAAUAAGCUCCGGCUAACUCCGUG